UCUGUGUAUUUUACAUACUAUAUAUUUUUUUAUUUUCUGUAUUUUCUGUAUUGUAUGAACUGAAUAUUUUAU